UACAGAGGGUGCGAGCGUUGUUCGGAAUCACUGGGCGUAAAGGGCGCGUAGGUGGCGACCCAAGUCGAUGGUGAAAGCUCGCCGCUCAACGGCGAGUCGGCCACCGAUACUGGGUUGCUGGAGCACUGUAGAGGCAGAUGGAAUUCCGGGUGUAGCGGUGGAAUGCGUAGAGAUCCGGAAGAAUACCCGUGGCGAAGGCGGCCAGCUGGGCCAGGUCCGACACUGAGGCGCGAAAGCGUGGGGAGCAAACAGG
rnacentral:rRNA from 1 species